rnacentral:rRNA from 1 species
UACGGAAGGUCCGGGCGUUAUCCGGAUUUAUUGGGUUUAAAGGGAGCGUAGGCGGGUAUCUAAGUCAGCUGUGAAAUUGCGUCGCUCAACGUCGCACCUGCAGUUGAAACUGGAUAUCUUGAGUGCGCACAGCGGCGCUGGAAUUCGUGGUGUAGCGGUGAAAUGCUUAGAUAUCACGAAGAACUCCGAUCGCGAAGGCAGGUGCCGGGGGCGCAACUGACGCUGAGGCUCGAAAGUGUGGGUAUCAAAC